rnacentral:tRNA from 4 species
GGGCCAGUAGCUCAGUUGGUUAGAGCAGUCGACUCAUAAUCGAUCGGUCGCAGGUUCAAGUCCUGCCUGGCCCACCA